GAAUGAAAUUGGAGUCGGUUGUCGCUGGCCUCUUCACUGAGGCAUGUGCACGCCUUCUCUAUUCAUCCACACACACCUGUGCACUUGUGAGUCGGAUUGACCCUCUCGGGGGACGGUCCGUCUAUUUAUACAUAAACUCCAUUAUAAUAAAUUUGAAUGUAAUUUGAUGUAACACAUCUUUAAACUAAGUUUCAACAACGGAUCUCUUGGCUCU
rnacentral:misc_RNA from 1 species